GAUAAGGAGCUUGCUCCUUUGACGUUAGCGGCGGACGGGUGAGUAACACGUGGGUAACCUACCUAUAAGACUGGGAUAACUUCGGGAAACCGGAGCUAAUACCGGAUAAUAUUUCGAACCGCAUGGUUCGAUAGUGAAAGAUGGUUUUGCUAUCACUUAUAGAUGGACCCGCGCCGUAUUAGCUAGUUGGUAAGGUAACGGCUUACCAAGGCGACGAUACGUAGCCGACCUGAGAGGGUGAUCGGCCACACUGGAACUGAGACACGGUCCAGACUCCUACGGGAGGCAGCAGUAGGGAAUCUUCCGCAAUGGGCGAAAGCCUGACGGAGCAACGCCGCGUGAGUGAUGAAGGUCUUCGGAUCGUAAAACUCUGUUAUUAGGGAAGAACAUACGUGUAAGUAACUGUGCACGUCUUGACGGUACCUAAUCAGAAAGCCACGGCUAACUACGUGCCAGCAGCCGCGGUAAUACGUAGGUGGCAAGCGUUAUCCGGAAUUAUUGGGCGUAAAGCGCGCGUAGGCGGUUUUUUAAGUCUGAUGUGAAAGCCCACGGCUCAACCGUGGAGGGUCAUUGGAAACUGGAAAACUUGAGUGCAGAAGAGGAAAGUGGAAUUCCAUGUGUAGCGGUGAAAUGCGCAGAGAUAUGGAGGAACACCAGUGGCGAAGGCGACUUUCUGGUCUGUAACUGACGCUGAUGUGCGAAAGCGUGGGGAUCAAACAGG
rnacentral:rRNA from 1 species